GGAUGAAGGGGAGUGAGCUCUGGGAGGUAGGGGCCCCAUCCAAGAAGGCUGUGUGUGGUGGACUGAAUGUUUGCGUCCCCCCGACAUUCAUACAUUGAAGCUCUGUCCCCCAUUGUGAUGGGAUCCGCAGGUGGGGCUUUGGGGAGGUGAUUAGGUUUGAGAAUGGAGCCCUCAGAGAUGGCAUUAAGUGACGUUAGAGGAGUCCUGAGGUGCUUGCUUCUCUCUCUUACGUGAGGCUAUAAGGAGAAAACGGCCUCUGCAACCCUGAAUAGGGCCCUCAGGAACCGAGCACCCUGGCACCUGAUCUCUUUCAGCCUCCAGAACUUUGCUGCCUGUAGCAGUCUUUCAGUGCGUCUCUGCAGAUGAGAUAAGCCAAUAUAGACAGAAGGGCACCUCCUCUGGGAUACCCCCGAGGAAGACCCAAGGGGAAGGGGGAAAAGGCUAUAUUGAAUACCAUACUUGGUUCUCCUUUCUAUUUACUUGUCGUAAUAAGAGAGAAAUAGAAAAAAAGUUACUCAUUCCUGAGCUCGGAUUAAGGAAGUUUAUGAACACACAUCAUUUGGUGACACUGACAGUGAUGGACUUCAACUCCUGACCACGUCAAUCCUGGAUGUUCAUGGGAGGCUGAGCUGCCAAAAAGACGCAGAAGAAUACUGAAUCCUCUACCCAACAAACUCUGGGUGGCAUUUUCAUGAUGAGGUUAGAUGUGGAAAUUGAGCCACAGAGAAGUGAAAGCAAUCGUUAAUGCUUUAGAUGAAGGACAAGCCUGGAGCAUUGAUUAGAAUUCUUGAAUCUUAAGCUGUUCUGAACCCCAGGUCUGGUUUUCCCCUGAAUUAAGUCAUGGGACAUAAUUUUUUCUAAAAGAGAAAUCCUGUUCUUUAAAGCUUAACCCCACUCCCCAAAUGUACAUCCAAGUACCAUGUUCCAGAGGGAAAAUGUCUUCAAAAUCUUCCCCUCAAUUCUAAGGUUAUUGGAUUUAAGGCACAGUGGAAUAACUAGCUGUAGAGCUAAAAUGUGUGGUACUUAAAGGUAACUUUGAAUUUUUGUUAGCUUACAUUCAAGUAAAAAGACUUGAAAAGAUCAUAAACCACUGUCCCAAGCCUCUAGCUUUAAUCAGGUCACUUAUUAGAGUGAACAAAUUUUAAAAUCAAAAAGUAUACUAUUCUGCUGAAAGAGACCUUUCUCAAGGCCCACACUUGUUCAUCAUUUUUUGUCACUGUUAAGGCCACCAUUGCCAAGUUCCCAGAAUGUUUUACAACUGAUCAUUUCAGAGGGUUCUCAAGUAGGUCAGAAGAAAAAAAAAAAAGUCCUUUAAUGAUGAUCUUCGUGCCGUGCUUUGAUGACAGGAAGUAAAGAGGCCAAGCAAAGUAUAACCACUUCUGUACUAUAAGUCCAGAGUGUUUAGUGUUUGAGAAGCACAGCAUCCAUAAUUCAGACUAAAGUUGUUUAGUAUUGUAAUUAGCCAUAGAAAACUUACCUUGGCACUUUUUGCUGUCUAAAAAAAGUGCACUCAGCUUUUAACUCAUUCUGUUCUGAUGGCUCCAAUUUUGUCUGUACUAAAGUAAUUUCCACAUGUCUUCUUGAGUGUUGGCAUGUGAGCUGCAUAAAUUCCCUGGGGUCCAAGGUCCAAAGACACUGUGCCAUGGAAAGGGAGACGGUCCUAUUUCUAAAAGAAUAUUGGGACAGGUAGGUGACAGUGUUUUGUGUGUGACUUCUGGGAGAUGUGGCUUGGAUGUUGAAAUAUUGGUACUUCUGGGGACUUUUCUUUUUCUUUUUUUAUAACCUCAUCUGCAACAUAUGAAAGUUCCCAGUUAGAGGUCAAAUCGGAGCUACAGCGUCAGGCCUACACCACGGCAACACUGGAUCUGAGCUGCAUCUGGAACUUAUGCCGAAGGCCAGGGAUCAAAACUGCAUCCUCACAGAGACAAUGUUGUGUCCUUGCUGAGCCAUAAUGGGAGCUCCUCUUUUUCUUUUUAAAUUUUUUUAAAUUAAAAAAAAAAUUGUUAUUGAAGUAUAAUUGAUUUACAGUGUUGUGUUAGUGUUAGGUGUAUAGCAAGGCGAUUCUGUUUUAUGUAUAUAUGUACAUAUAUAUUUUUCAGAUUCUUUUCCAAUAUAGGUUAUUAUAAGAUAUUGAAUAUAGUUCCCUGUGCUAUAGGACCUUGCUUAUCUCUUUUAUAUAUAGUAGUAUAUAUAUAUAGUAGUAUCUAUUAACCUCAAAUUCUUAAUUUACACCCCCACCAUUUCCCCUUUGUUAACCAUAAGUUUGUUUUCUACAUCUGUGAGUCUCUUUCUGUUUUGUAAAUAAGUUCCUUUGUAUCACUUUUUAAGAUUCUAUGCAUAAGUGAUAUCAUAUGAUGUUAGCCUUUGUCUGACUUACUUCACUUAAUUCAUUCUUUUUAAGUGAGUGAUAUUUCAUGUAUCUUUAUCCAUCCAUCUGUUGAGGGGCAUUUAGGUUGCUUCCAUGACUUGACUAUUGUAAGUAGUGCUGCUGUGAGCUUUGAGGUGCAUGUAUCCUUUCAAAUUAGAGUUUUUGUCUUUUCUGGCCCAGGAGUGGCAUUUCUGAAUCAUAUGGUAACUCUAUUUUUAGUGUUUGAAGGAACCCUCUGGGGCAUUUAAAUGGUUUAUGGGAAUAGCAGGGAAGAAUCAUUUAUUCCAAAUAUUUCAUGUAAUCAAGUUGUGUUUAUCUAUUCAAACAUUUCAUUUUAAAAUAUUAAAAUAGUUCAAACA
rnacentral:lncRNA from 1 species